rnacentral:rRNA from 1 species
AUGAACGCUGGCGGCGUGCCUAAUACAUGCAAGUCGAGCGAACAGACGAGGAGCUUGCUCCUCUGACGUUAGCGGCGGACGGGUGAGUAACACGUGGAUAUCCUACCUAUAAGACUGGGAUAACUUCGGGAAACCGGAGCUAAUACCGGAUAAUAUAUUGAACCGCAUGGUUCAAUAGUGAAAGACGGUUUUGCUGUCACUUAUAGAUGGAUCCGCGCCGCAUUAGCUAGUUGGUAAGGUAACGGCUUACCAAGGCAACGAUGCGUAGCCGACCUGAGAGGGUGAUCGGCCACACUGGAACUGAGACACGGUCCAGACUCCUACGGGAGGCAGCAGUAGGGAAUCUUCCGCAAUGGGCGAAAGCUUGACGGAGCAACGCCGCGUGAGUGAUGAAGGUCUUCGGAUCGUAAAACUCUGUUAUUAGGGAAGAACAAAUGUGUAAGUAACUAUGCACGUCUUGACGGUACCUAAUCAGAAAGCCACGGCUAACUACGUG